GAAUGCUGGCGGGCGUGCCUAAUACAUGCAAGUCGAGCGGUAACAGGGCUCACCGUGUCUGACGCACUGGCCAUGAGCAAGUAGCUGAUUCGAGGACACAGUGAAGUUGCUGACGAGCGGCGGACGGCUGAGUAACGCGUGGGAACGGACCCCAAACUGAGGGAUAACUAGUCGAAAGAUUAGCUAAUACCGCAUGUGAUCUUCGGAUUAAAGGAUUUAUCCGGUUUGGGACUGGCCUGCGUACGAUUAGAUAGUUGGCAGGGUAAUGGCCUACCAAGUCGACGAUCGUUAGAUGGUUUGAGAAGAUGAUCAUCCAGACUGGGACUGAGACACGGCCCAGACUCCUACGGGAGGCAGCAGUAGGGAAUCUUUCACAAUGGGCGAAAGCCUGAAUGGAGCAACGCCGCGUGCAGGAUGACGGCCUUCGGGUUGUAAACUGCUUUUAUUACCGAGAAAUAUGAUGGUAGGUAUUGAAUAAGGACCGGCUAACUACGUGCCAGCCGCCGC
rnacentral:rRNA from 1 species